rnacentral:rRNA from 1 species
CCUACGGGUGACUGCAGUGAGGAAUAUUGGUCAAUGGGCGCGAGCCUGAACCAGCCAAGUCGCGUGAAGGAUGACUGCCCUACGGAUUGUAAACUUCUUUUGUCAAGGAAUAAAGUGAGGCACGUGUGCCUUUUUGUAUGUACUUUAUGAAUAAGCAUCGGCUAACUCCGUGCCAGCAGCCGCGGUAAUACGGAGGAUGCGAGCGUUAUCCGGAUUUAUUGGGUUUAAAGGGAGCGUAGAUGGGUUGUUAAGUCAGUUGUGAAAGUUUGGGGCUCAACCGUAAAAUUGCAAUUGAUACUGGCAGUCGUGAGUACAGUUGAGGUAGGCGGAAUGCGUGGUGUAGCGGUGAAAUGCUUAGAGAUUACGAAGAACUCCGAUUGCGAAGGCAGCUUACUAACGUGCCACUGACAUUGAUGCUCGAAAGUGUGGGUAUCAAACAGGAUUAGAUACCCGAGUAGUC